rnacentral:rRNA from 1 species
GUAGCAAUACUUUGGUGGCGACCGGCGCACGGGUGAGUAACACGUAUGCAACCUGCCUGUAAGUGGGGAAUAACCCGGAGAAAUUCGGACUAAUACCGCAUAAAACUGCGAAACUGCAUGGUUUUGCAUUUAAACAUUUAUGGCUUACAGAUGGGCAUGCGUAUGAUUAGCUAGUUGGUGAGGUAACGGCUCACCAAGGCAACGAUCAUUAGGGGUUCUGAGAGGAAGGUCCCCCACACUGGUACUGAGACACGGACCAGACUCCUACGGGAGGCAGCAGUGAGGAAUAUUGGUCAAUGGGCGAGAGCCUGAACCAGCCAAGUCGCGUGAAGGAAGAAGGUUCUAUGGAUUGUAAACUUCUUUUGUAAGGGAAUAAAAAGAGUUACGUGUAACUUAUUGUAUGUACUUUACGAAUAAGGAUCGGCUAACUCCGUGCCAGCAGCCGCGGUAAUACGGAGGAUCCAAGCGUUAUCCGGAUUUAUUGGGUUUAAAGGGUGCGUAGGCGGACCCUUAAGUCAGUGGUGAAAGUUUGCGGCUCAACCGUAAAAUUGCCAUUGAAACUGAGGGUCUUGAGUGUAAAUGAGGUAGGCGGAAUGUGUUGUGUAGCGGUGAAAUGCUUAGAUAUAACACAGAACACCAAUUGCGAAGGCAGCUUACUGGGAUACAACUGACGCUGAGGCACGAAAGCGUGGGGAUCAAACAGGAUUAGAUACCCUGGUAGUCCACGCAGUAAACGAUGAAUACUAACUGUAUGCGAUAUACUGUAUGCGGUAC